rnacentral:lncRNA from 1 species
UGAAGGAGACGUUUUAUUAGAUCCAAGAGCUAGAACUUCAAUAGAUUGGAGUAUAAACCCUAGUUCUAGCCUCCGAGCUCUCUUCUCUAAGUCUUGAAGUGUCGAUCCCUUGCUCUAGAGUUUAGGUUCCCUUUAUAUAGUUGUCGUGAGGUGGGCCUUAGUCAGUUUGAGCGAGUUGAACUCUUCCAUAUUCGGAAAUAUGCAAGGUUCUCCUUAUCGGAAGUUUUCCUUUUCCCGGAGGAAGGGUGUGGUCCCUGGGACCGGACCCGUAAUAUUUCUUGGCGGGGACCCGGGGCAUCUCCUAACGGGACCCAGAGGCCGGUGUCCUGCCUGGGGACUGGAGGA